ACGGAGGUUUACGUAAAACGUGUCAUGCAGUGGUGUAGAGGUUGGGUGACAACGGUAUGUGUUACAUAACCAUAUGGUAUUCAUUUUGAUAUUGGUUGUUGUAGACCCAUCCCCAGCAACGUCAACCUGAAAAAGGAAAGGACAGUCACACUCGAAGGUCACGGAGAAAAACGUGUCAUGCAGCGGUGUAGAGGUUGGGUGAGGACGGACGUUUUGCAUCAUUAUCAAGCAGGCACAACACCCGCAAGGCUUUAGAGGUGAGGGGGAGAAAAAAAAUCGUAUAAAAGGAGAGAGAAAAGGCGAAGGUAAAUCAAUCGAGGGAGCAUCUCCGACACGGCAUCAACUGCAGCGCACUAUAUGUCACCAUCUGCCUUCCUCAUCGUAUUACUAGUGUGGAAGCAUAGUUACUAUGGCGCCGAGCUGCUGUUGGGUGUUGUAUCGUUGAUGGCUGGGUCGACGACGAGUGUGCCGAUGUCUCCUGGGUAUGGCGGAUACCAAACCGCAACGCCGCCGCCUUACUACACAACAACAUACGCAACGGCCAUUUACUACACCGAGGCCUCCAAGUACUACACCACCAAGGCUCCAGAGUAUUAAACCACAAAUUAUGAUGCCCCUGCCUACUACACCGAUGCCCCUAUUUACUACAACACCGAAAAGCUUAAGUGCUACGCUACAACCUACGCUGCCCCGAGCUACUACACCGCCGCCAAGAAGUAUAACUCUACCCUGAGCUACAUCACCAGAGAGCCAGAGUACUACACCAAGGCUCCCAAGUACUACAUCAGUAAGGCACCGGAAUAUUACACGACUUCGUAUGCUGCCCGUGUCUACUACACCGAGGCCUCUAAUUACUACAACACCGAAGCGCUCAAGUACUACCACCUGCAUCUGUCCCCAAAUGCAUUUGUUCCUCAUCGUGUAACCGGUUCGCAAUUAUGGUAAACUGUGGCGUCGUGCUGCUGUUGUGUGUUGAUGGCUGGGUCGACCACUGGUGUACCGAUGUCUCCCUGCGAUGGAGAAUACCAGUAGUUCCCACAACGCCGCCGCCUUACUACACAACAACAACAACUUACGCAACGACCAGUUCUUGCACUGAGGUCUUCAAGUACUACACAACUAAAGCACCGGAGUUUUAUACCACAACUACGCUACCCCAAGCCACUACACUGAUGCCCUGAAGUAUUACUCUGCCCCGAGUUACUACACCACCAAGGCGACGGAGUACUACAUGACAACGCAUGCUGCCCCAUCCGACUACACCGAGGCUCCCAACUGCUUCACCGAGCCUCCCGCUUAUUACUCCACCAAAACGGUCGAGUACUACACCGAAGUGGCAAGGUACUUCUCUGCCCCUAUCUACUCAACAAGAGCUGAGGCGGCCAAGUAUUACGCAUCCUGACUUGCCACACAAAAGCUGCUCUUUCGUGCUACGUUGAACUGAAACACUACCCUGAUGCUCCAGUCUACUACACCACGGUCUUCCCUACACCUAGCUACAACACCGCAGCCCUUAAGUACUACACCAAAAACGCCGCCUAUUACACAACCACGUACGCUGCCUGGUAUACUACAUCGAGGAAUUUAAGUAUUAUCCAUUAAGUAUACUCCAAACUACUACCAUCUGAAGUUCAUACGUAUUACUAUUACACCAGCAAUUGUCCUGACUAUGUCACCACUACUUAUGUUGCUCCGACCUAUACAUCGAAAUUCUGAAUUAUUUCACUGGAUGUGUUGAAAGAUUGCUGAAAUACAAGAUUGAUCGAUAAA